rnacentral:rRNA from 1 species
GAACGCUGGCGGCGUGCUUAACACAUGCAAGUCGAGCGGAAAGGCCCUUCGGGGUACUCGAGCGGCGAACGGGUGAGUAACACGUGAGCAACCUGCCCUAGGCUUUGGGAUAACCCUCGGAAACGGGGGCUAAUACCGAAUAUGACCUCGCAUCGCAUGGUGUGUGGUGGAAAGUUUUUCGGCCUGGGAUGGGCUCGCGGCCUAUCAGCUUGUUGGUGGGGUGAUGGCCUACCAAGGCGACGACGGGUAGCCGGCCUGAGAGGGCGACCGGCCACACUGGGACUGAGACACGGCCCAGACUCCUACGGGAGGCAGCAGUGGGGAAUAUUGCACAAUGGGCGGAAGCCUGAUGCAGCGACGCCGCGUGAGGGAUGACGGCCUUCGGGUUGUAAACCUCUUUCAGCAGGGACGAAGCGUAAGUGACGGUACCUGCAGAAGAAGCGCCGGCCAACUACGUGCCAGCAGCCGCGGUAAGACGUAGGGCGCGAGCGUUGUCCGGAUUUAUUGGGCGUAAAGAGCUCGUAGGCGGC